rnacentral:rRNA from 1 species
AACGAACGCUGGCGGCGUGUUUAAGACAUGCAAGUCGCACGGUGUCAUUUUGGUAGCAAUACUUGAAUGGCAUAGUGGCGCACGGGUGAGUAACACGUGAAUUACAUGCCCUGUAGAGGGGGAUAGCCCAGGGAAACUUGGAUUAAUACCCCAUGGUCUCGCAAGAGUAAAGGUGGCCGCAAGGCUGUCGCUACAGGAUUGGUUCGCGCCCCAUCAGCUAGUUGGCGGGGUAACGGCCCACCAAGGCUACGACGGGUACCUGGUCGUGAGAGGACGAUCAGGCACACUGGAACUGAGACACGGUCCAGACACCUACGGGUGGCAGCAGUCGAGAAUAAUUCACAAUGGGGGCAACCCUGAUGGUGCAACGCCGCGUGGAGGAUGACGGUCUUCGGAUUGUAAACUCCUGUCAUCCGGGAGUAAGACCUGGGCAUGAAUAGUGCACAGGGUUGAUAGUACCGGAAGAGGAAGGGACGGCUAACUUCGUGCCAGCCGCCGCCGUAAUAC